CCGGAAGUUCAGGCUUCCGAGAGGGACCCCAGCGUGCUUUCUGUAACCCCUGCCGUUACUCCCUCUACCCUGAAGCUGACCUCAGGGGGCUGUUCUUUGUCAGAAAAGAUGAAUGAAGCAUAGUAGCUGUAGAAUGAACGGUUAUAGGGUUGCGUGUUAAGGGAUGAACCCCCAAAGUGCCCGUAGAGAACAGCCCUGGGCCUAUGUCCUGGCCGCGGUGCAGGAUGAAAGGCUCCGGUUGAUAGAUCACUACGGAUAAAAACCAAAGAAGGCUGUCAUGAGAUCAUCCUCGGGUGCAGGGUUACAUGGACGCCCAGAGAGGAAGCUGCGAGGAAUUUUGAAAGGAAAUUUCAGUCUGAGCAGGCAGCUGGCUCUGUGUCAAAGAGCACGCAGUUUGAAUAUGCCUGGUGCCUGGUUCGAAGCAAAUACAAUGACGACAUCCGUAGAGGCAUCACGCUGCUGGAGGAGCUGUUGCCCAAAGGGAGCAAAGAGGAACAGCGGGAUUAUGUCUUCUACCUGGCAGUGGGCAACUACCGGCUCAAGGAAUAUGAGAAGGCUCUGAAGUAUGUUCGAGGGCUGUUGCAGACUGAGCCCCAGAACAACCAGGCUAAGGAGCUGGAACGCCUGAUUGACAAGGCCAUGAAGAAAGAUGGACUGGUAGGCAUGGCCAUCGUUGGUGGCAUGGCCCUGGGUGUGGCCGGCCUGGCUGGACUCAUUGGACUGGCUGUCUCCAAGUCCAAAUCCUGAAGGCAGCCUCACCUGCUCUCUGCCCCCGGACACCUGGGAGCCCGGGGGCACUGGGAGAGGGGUCUGUUCAUCCUCACCAUCGCCUUCCCUCUUCUCCUGCACCCCUGUCAUCCACCUCUACAGUCUCCAUGACCCCAGCCUCCCAUCCCCUGCACCUGUAGUUUAACCCUGUCAUGCUUUGCAAUGAGUGUAAAUAAAAUUGGGCCGUGGCUUGGGAAA